CUUCACCGAUCACCGGACGCUGUCUUCUGAAGAGUUGAUUCGAUAAGCGAGAAUAUAGAGCUUGCAGAAAUCUUCCUUCUUUCAGAGGCCUGAGACAUCUGAACCCAGUUCUCUCUCCGUCGAUGCCAGCUCCUCUUACCCACCCGUCAUCUGCAUCUUCUAGAUUGAAUUAUUGACUUUGUAUAACGUGCUUGGUAUCAGAAAUACAAAAAAAAAUAAGGUAAGUUUUCAAUAAAUAUUUAUAGAGAGUUCUGUGGUCAAAACUGUGUUUAAAUUUGUUAAUUUUGGUUAAUUGGGGAAAUAGGGAGACAAUAUCUUUUAGAUUCAAUUUUAACUUUUCUAAAACAAAAUAAUUAACGAAGACCCUACAUAUACAAAACCAAAUGCUUGCUGUACUAACUGUUUAAACGUUAAUAUUCUGCUAUAGUGUUGCCCCUUACCUGUAGGGGAUUCAUUCCAAGACCCCCCAGGGAAUGCCUGAAACCCAGCCUUAUGUGCCCUGUGUUUUUUCCGAUGCAUACAUAUCUAUGACAAAGUUUAAUUUAUAAAUCAGGCAUCGUCAGAGCUUAACAAUAACUAAUAAUAAGAGAGAACAAUUAUAGCAAUACACUGUAAUAAAAGUUGUGUGCAUGUGGUCUUUAUUUCUCUCUCAAAAUAUGUGAUUGUUACUACACUCAUCCUUCUUCUUGGGAUGAUGCGAGCUGAUAAAUGCCCACAUGAUGAGACGAAGCGCGAUGAAUGAUGUAGGCACCAUAAUGUAGCAUUGACCGGACAGUACAUCAGGUGGAUUAGCAUCUGCUUCUGGACCACAGUCAACCGCAGGUAACUGAAACCAUGGAAAGCAAAACCAAGAAAACCAAGAAUCAUUUCUGCUAAUGAAAGCCAGAAGUCUAUGAUGGAGGGCUCACAGUAGAUAUUCCCAGUGGCUGAGGGAGAUAAUGGCUAGAGUAAGAGUGCCGGCACCAACCCCUGUGAAAAGAGCACACAGAAUCGCUCUGGUUUUGAGAUACAGGUAAAGAACAAAUCUGGACUGCACUAUUUUUAACUACUUGCAGAAACUGGAGGUGAAAGCAUACUCAACACCGAAGAGGUUUUGCAUUGCAGUGAAGAUGUGUGAAGGUUGUUGCAGGUGACAGAUCCACAGGGCUUUGGCCGAAGUAGAUACAAGAUAAUCAAAUGUUAAAAAAAAUAAGGUAGAUAAGCACAUAAUAAAACAAAAGAACACACCUGAAGGAAAUGAACAAUGUUUGGCCCCACAGAAGAAAGCAUGGGAACACUGCAGUGAGACUGUAGUUUCUCAAUUUCCUGCUGAUGAAGCAGACAGUGCUAGUUGCAAAUUUCAUGCACGUAAAUGCACAAACCGACCCUGCCCUUUCUAGGUCUUUGAUGUAGUGAAUUCUGUCUAUGUAACCGAUUAUUUCUAUUUAGUCUUAGGACUUGGGUUAGUCCCAAAUCCUCUGACAAAUAAUAAUAAUAAAAUAAUGAUAUUAAUAACAAUAAUAGGUUCUAAAUUGAUCACCUAUGCCAGGUACUCUUGACAUUGAUCUGGGCGGCACCUGGGUGGCUCAGCUGGGUUAAGCAGUGAUUCGUGAUUUCAGCUCAGGUCAUGAUCUCAUGGUUCGUGAGUCUGAGCCCCAUGCCGGGUUCUGCGAUGGCCAGUCAGAGCCUGUUUGGAAUCUUCUCUCUUCUUCUCUCUCUGCCCCUCCCCUGCCCACACUCACUGGCAAAAUAAAUAAAUAAACUGUAAAAAAAAAAUAAUCUGAAAGUUAUCCUUAUCUCACUUUUAGUGGUGCAAAAAAUAAUUUUCAAGGAGA